GGCCGUCGCACUCGCACUCGCACUCGCAGCAAAGCUUCUCCUCUCCUUCCCCGCGAAUUGAUAACACAGCUGCAGUCUGCAGACCUACUCCAUCAUCUCCUUCGAACUCCCCGCCUGUCUCGCGCAAACGACCAAGCGGUCCCUCCAAAACCUUUGGCCGAUCUCGUUAACUCCAGUGCAGACAAAUCAAGUACUCAUCCCUUCUUGUUCCUCGCUUGCCUAAAUCCAAUCUUUAUCAGCUGGGUGCUUUAGUUAGUAUACGUACUCUUCGACGUCCGUACACAAGCAUGCGGCCAGACGGGAAAUUGCCGCCGCCACAUCCAUCGUUGGCCCCGCUGCCGCAACGGCCGCAGCAAGCGACGGGAACAGACAUGGACCCGCACGCCAGGCUGCCGGACCCGGUGCCGUCGCCGAUACUGAAGCACUCGCCGUCGAUAUCGCGCUCGCUGCGGUCGGCGGCAGACACGUCGUCCGUCACCUUCGCGGCCGACUUCCGGUCGCCCUCCAAGCCGGAAUCCACCUCGCCGUCCUUCGACAGCUUCCGGACGGCCCGGUCGAGGCCGUCCAGCGUCUCGCGGUCGUCCACCAGGCGAUCCGCGUCCGAGCGUGCCGGCUCGCAGCGGGACCUCCGCGACGAGGACGCGCGAUUCGUCUACAUCAACGACGCGCCGCGCACCAACGCGCCGCCGGCCAUGUUCCCGGACAACUCCAUCCGCACCUCCAAGUACUCCGUCCUCACCUUCAUCCCGCGCAACCUCUACGAGCAGUUCCACAGGGUGGCCUACAUCUACUUCCUCAUCCUGGCGGUGCUCAACUUCGUGCCGCAACUCCUCGUGCUGUCCAAGGAAGCGGGCGUUCUGCCGCUGGCCUUCGUGCUCGGCGUCACGGCAGUGAAGGACGCGUACGAGGACUGGAGGCGGCACCGGUCAGACAAGAAUGAGAACAACCGCACGGCGUCUGUGCUCGCGGACGGCGUGUUCCGGCCGAAGCGGUGGAAGGACAUUCAGGUCGGCGACGUGGUGCGUCUCGUGGCUAACGAGACGCUGCCGUGCGACAUGGUUCUUGUGUCCACGAGCGACCCCACCGGCGUGGCCUACAUCCAGACCAUCAACCUCGACGGCGAGUCCAACCUCAAGACGCGCUACGCCAAGCAGGAAACCAUGUCCACGCCGCCGGAGGCGCUCGCCGGUGUCAUCAAGUGCGAGAAACCCAACCGCAACAUCUACGGCUUCCUCGCCACCGUGGACCUCAACGGCCGCCGCGCCAUCUCCCUCGGCACCUCCAACGUCAUGCUCCGCGGCUGCGAGCUCAAGAAUACGGUCUGGGCCAUCGGGGUGGCGGUGUACACCGGCCGGGACACCAAGGUCGUGCUCAACAGCUCGGGUGCGCCAUCCAAGCGCAGCCGCCUCGAGACGCACAUGAACCGCGAAAUCAUCGCGCUCGCCGUGGCUCUGGUCGUCCUCUGCUCGGUGGUGUCUCUCCUCGCCGGCAUCUGGAUGGGUGACCAUGUCGAUCAGCUCGGCAUCAUCCCCUUUUUCCACAAAUACGACUACUCGGGGGCUGCUGCGCACGACGACGGGAGGUACAACUGGUACGGCACGGGCGCGCAGGUGGUGUUCACGUUCAUGUCGGCGGUGAUCCAGUUCCAGGUGAUGAUCCCCAUCGGGCUCAUCAUAUCCAUGGAGCUCAUCAGGGUGGGGCAGGCAUACUUCAUGGUGCAGGACAACCGCAUGUUCGACGAGAAGAGCCAGGCCAGGUUCCAAUGCCGGGCGCUCAACAUCAACGAGGACCUGGGGCAGAUCAAGUACGUCUUCUCCGACAAGACCGGCACGCUCACGCAGAAUCGGAUGGAGUUCCGCUGCGCCAGCGUGCAAGGCCGCGACUUCAGCGAGACCGACGGCGGCGAGGAGGACGGACAUGCCGUGCAAGCGGACGGCGUGGUUCUGAGACCCAAGACGGCGGUGACGACGGACCCGAAGCUGGCGGCGCUGCUCAAGGACGGGAUGGGCGCCAAGGCCAGCCGCGCCCGCGACCUGUUCCUGGCGCUGGCGACCUGCAACACCAUCGUGCCCAUCGUCGAGGACACCGUGAACCCGGCGGCGAAGCUGGUGGAGUACCAGGGCGAGUCCCCCGACGAGCAGGCGCUGGUGUACGCCGCCGCGGCGUACGGGCACAAGCUCGUCGAGCGCACCUCCGGCCACAUCGUCGUCGACGUGUUCGGCACCAGGCAAAGGUUUGACGUCCUUGGUCUUCAUGAGUUUGACAGCGACCGCAAGAGGAUGUCAGUUAUAAUUGGCUGCCCGGACAAGACUAUCAAGCUGUUUGUAAAAGGUGCAGAUAGUUCCAUGUUUGGAAUCAUCGACAAAACACUGAAUCCAGAUGUUGUCCAGGCAACCGAGAAACAUCUCCAUUCAUAUUCGUCAGUCGGCCUCCGAACACUUGUCAUCGGUGUGCGGGAACUUAGCCAGUCAGAGUUUCAGGAGUGGCAAAUGGCUUACGAGAAGGCUAGCACUGCAUUAUUAGGCAGAGGGAAUCUCCUACGCAGUGUGGCCGCCAACAUUGAAAGGAACAUGCGCCUGUUAGGAGCCUCCGGUGUCGAAGACAAGCUGCAAGAUGGAGUGCCUGAAGCAAUUGAAAAACUAAGGGAAGCAGGGAUUAAGGUUUGGGUUCUGACAGGUGACAAACAAGAAACUGCCAUCUCCAUUGGCUAUUCCUGCAAGCUUUUGACAAGGGACAUGACACAGAUUGUAAUCAAUAGUAAUUCAAGAGAGUCGUGCAGAAAAAGUCUGGAUGAUGCAAUCUCCAUGGUUAACAAACUUCGGUCACUGUCUACAGACUCCCAAUCUAGAGUUCCCCUCGCUUUGAUCAUUGACGGAAACAGUCUCGUCUACAUUUUUGACACAGACCGGGAGGAGAAGCUUUUUGAAGUCGCGAUAGCAUGCGAUGUCGUUCUAUGUUGUCGAGUGGCUCCUCUACAGAAGGCUGGGAUUGUUGAUUUAAUAAAGAAGCGAACAAGUGACAUGACUCUAGCUAUUGGAGAUGGUGCAAAUGAUGUAUCCAUGAUCCAAAUGGCCGAUGUUGGCAUUGGCAUCAGUGGUCAAGAAGGAAGGCAAGCUGUGAUGGCCUCAGAUUUUGCCAUGGGGCAAUUUAGAUUUUUGGUCCCACUGUUGUUAGUUCAUGGCCACUGGAACUACCAGAGAAUGAGCUACAUGAUCCUAUACAAUUUUUACAGAAAUGCUACUUUUGUCUUUGUGCUUUUCUGGUAUGUACUUUACACUGGUUAUACCCUGUCAACAGCAAUAAAUGAGUGGAGCAGUGUGUUAUACUCUGUGGUCUAUACUUCUGCGCCGACUGUCAUUGUCGCCAUUCUCGACAAGGAUCUGAGUCGAAGGACAUUGCUGAAAUACCCCCAACUCUACGGUGCGGGGCAGCGCGAGGAGAGUUACAACCUAAGACUAUUCAUUUUCAUCAUGGUGGACUCCGUCUGGCAGAGCGUCGUAGUUUUCUUCAUCCCUUACCUCGCAUACAAAAACAGCGCAAUCGACAGCGCCAGCCUGGGAGACCUGUGGACACUGUCUGUUGUCAUUCUUGUCAACAUUCACCUUGCCAUGGAUGUCAUCAGAUGGACUUGGAUCACUCAUGCAGUAAUAUGGGGCAGUAUUGUGGCGACAUGGAUUUGCGUCAUCAUCAUAGACUCCAUACCCACCUUGCCCGGUUUCUGGGCAAUCUACGAGGUGAUGGGAACUGCAUUGUUCUGGGCAUUGCUUCUUGCGGUGAUUGUGGUUGGAAUGAUCCCUCAUUUUGCCGCAAAGGCCAUCAGGGAACAUUUCAUGCCCAAUGACAUCCAGAUUGCGAGAGAGAUGGAGAAGUCGCAAGAUUCUCGUGAUGCUAAUCAACCAGAAGUCCAGAUGAGUACAUCCACUCGAGCUUAGGAGUAGGGGAUCUUUGUUCAUUCGCGUAGGCUAGAGUUACACCUUUCUCUUUGUGAAGAAAUUACACCUUUUCCUUGGUUCUUUUUGUUGUGUGUAUAUAAAGCAAUUCUUUCGGCAGUGAGCAUGCUUCUUGUUGCUUGCUACCCUGUCAACUAUCCAAAGGAUAGAUUUCUUGUAGCCAUGCUGUGCAUCCGCCUGCAUUUUUUUUUGGGGUUAAUUUAUAUGAAAAGAAUCGUACAGGAGUUAACUGUACAUAUUCAGGGACUGAUUUAUUUUAUGAAGAUUCUGAAACUGAUGAUACUGAUUUCCAAGAGCUAACGUAGAAGCAUUGCGUUUCUUGGGUGCACAAAUAGACAUGGGGAACAGCAGUAUGUUUUUACCUGUCUAGCAGAUCCCUUA
rnacentral:rRNA from 1 species